CAGAAGGUGGGGCGGUACCUCAGGAUAAUGGCAGCAGAAGGCAAAGGGAGCAGACAGCUGGCAAGCUCUGUCCCAAUAUGCUUCCCUGAAAGAGGCGAGGAAAUUUCAGAAGAUGCAAUGCCUGAAUGGCUCACUUUGCAGGAAAACAGAAGAACCAAGGAAUACAACAUGUUUAAGACCACAGAACAUCUGCAUAGGCUGUAAAUUUCGUUGAAUGAUGGAUGCAAAGAUGGAAGACAGAUGGAUAGAGGAAAAGACAGAAUCAGAUACUGGAUGAGUUAGUACUGCUGCCUGUGCUUCAGAGCUGUCUUAUUACCACAAGGCCGGCAAGCAUCAAUGUCCCCACAUCCCCCUCUGCCUCCCCCUGAAAUGUACCGAUUUAUAUGAAAAUUAAGAUUACAAAUUAAAGCCUGGCUAUCCUGGAGUUUUCCAGUUCAUCAGCCAUCCAAUAAAAAUGAUGUCAAGCCUGUAUGCAUAAUUCCCGGAAGAUUACUUUCGUCCUUACAGCUAAGCCCUGUCCCUGAUAUGAAAGAUCUCUAUCCACUUUUAUUGAAAUAAAGAACUAACAUCAUAAUCCCAA
rnacentral:lncRNA from 1 species